rnacentral:lncRNA from 1 species
AGGUGCCGUACGCGCGCCGCAGCUCCCGGCGCACGAAGUCCGGUAGCUGCAGAGGGGGGCCCCGCGCGCGCUCCACGCGGCCCCAGCGCAGCUCGGUUUGCAGGCUCCCGCCCUCCGGCCACGGCGCCCAGCUCUCGGCCACCGCCGCGGGCGCCUGCAGCGACAGUCCCGAGAUGCCGGCGGCGGCGCAGGGCCGGCGCAGGGUCGUGGCGUAGGCCGGAGGGCAGGCCCACCAGGGCGGCGCGGCCUCGGGUGGCGCGGCGGGGCCGUAGAAGCGGUGGUAUUCCCGUGGGGCCGCCCACUCGCCCGCAUGCAGGCUCCCGGGCCGGCUGCGGAAGCUGUGGGCCUGGACUGGGGGUAGCAGCAGAGGGGCGGCCAGCCUUGGGGAGCCGGCGGGAUCCAGAGCGGGGCUCCUCUCCGCACUUUGUAGCUGCGUUGCUCCGCUCCAUGCCCUGCCUCAGCCACUCCUCCUGGUUACCAGGCAAAAGGAAACACCUUGAGCUGGCCAGGAGCUACCAGCGUCUGUCUACACCUGGGUGAGCCGUACUGGUCGUAGUGGCCCCACCCUACAAGGAUGCCCUUCCUACAGUAUUACUGAUGGCUGUCUAAUCCGGUUAGCUCCCAGUCACUACACCCCAGCCUCCCAGCGCCUGCAGGUGGAUUGGGUUAUCCUCACAUUUGAGUGAAACUCCUGCACACCAGACACUGAAUCGAGUUGUCUGGGAGCAUCUAACUGCAAGUUAUGUCGAUCCGAGGAAGGGGGGUACUGAUAUUACCCCUGCUUUCCAUAGCAAAAAGCUGCUUGCCUCACAGUUGGUGUCCAGUGUAUUCAGUGACUGGAGCUUAUGUAGGUUAAAUAACUCAUCCCAACUCACACAGCUGGCUAUAGUAAGGGCAAAAUUCAACCCCCAGUCUGUCUCAAGACUCAGGCUCACAAUGUUGGUCUUAUUGCCCACCUGUGCAGGAGCUUCUCGCAGACUGUCUCGAAGUCCUCCCACUCUAGAAUGUUACAUAAGCGCUUUAAUUUUUUUUUUUUUUUUUUUGAGAUGGGGUCUUGCUCUGUUGUCUAGGCUGGAGUGCAGCGGCAUGAUCUCGGCACACUGCAGCCACCGUCUUCCAGGUUCAAGCGAUUCUCCCACCUCAGCCUCCCGAGGAGCUGGGAUUACAGGUGCACCACCACCUCCUGCUAAUUUUUGUAGUUUUAGUAGAGACGGGGUUUUCACUAUGUUGGCCAGGCUGGUCCCGAACUCCUGACCUCAGGUGAUCCACCCUCCUUGGCUUCCCAAAGUGCUGAUUUUACAGGCGUGAGCCAUCGCGCCCGGCUGCUUUAAAUUCUUUUCUUCCUUUUUUUUUUUUUUUUUUUUGAGACAGAAUCUUGCUCUGUCGCCCAGGCUGGAGUGCGGUGGCACGAUCUUGGCUUACUGCAACCUCUGCCUCCCAGCUUCAAGCGAUUCUUCUGCCUCAGCCUCCCAAGUAGGUGGGACUACAGGCGUGCCCCACCACACCUGGCUAAUUUUUGUAUUUUUUAGUAGAAAUGGCGUUUCACCAUAUUGGCCAGACUGGUCUUGAACUCCCAACCCCGUGAUCCGCCCACCUUGGCCUCCCAAAGUUUUGGGAUUACAAGGAUGAGCUACUGCGCCCGGCCUACUUUAAAUUCUUAAUAGCUAUGUGAAGUGCAUAGUGAUGUCAUGCUCUUUUAGUAGAUAAGGAACCAGAGGCUCAGAGAAGUUAGGCCACUGUCCCAGGUUCACACAGCCUGUAAGUACCACAGUGGAAUUUGAACCCAGUCCAACUGAUGUCAAAGGCCAGAAGCCAUUUGAGUGAAGGCAGGAAGAUUGCUUCAUCCAGAUGGGGUGAGCCCUGUCUGAGUUCCAGUCCCUUCUGGUGUGGGUCACAACCCCUGCACCUCUUCCUUCUCCAGUGGGGAGAGUGGUAGUUAUGGAUGAUUAAAACUGAAACCGUCUCCCAGCUGCAGGGCUGCCAUGUUGCCACACUUUCCUUCCCCAUCUCCUGUUGACUGAAGCAGUAUCACCAGCAGCCCUGACAGAAAGGUUCUUCUGGGUUCUCAGUAUCCCUCAAAACUCAGCUACCCUCUGGUGGUGGCCACCAUUUGGUGACUCACCCUGGUGAUGUCAUGCUAUUCGUGACUGAGCCACUGCUCCAAGUCUUAAUUCGGGCCAGUCCUUUUGAAGGCAGGUGCUGGGGCUGGGCUGUGGAUGGAAAAAAGGGGCCUGGUUAGGGUUUCAUUUGGACUCUAACACUGUCAUAGAAACCCAGAUUCAGGCUGGUGAACCUGAUGCACAGCUAAGGCCAAACAGUGGGAGAUAGAGAAAGGUUUAUUUGAUUUGGCCAAAGUGAGAAGGCGGGAGAGCAAAUCUCUCAAAUCCCUAUUAACAGAAAAAAAGCAGCAGGGUGGCUUACACCUGUAAUCCUAGCACUUUUGGAGGCUGAGGCAGGUGGACUGCUUGAGCUCAGGAGUUCGAGAUCAGCCUGGGCAACAUGGUGAAACACCGGCUCUACAAAAAAAAAAAAAAAAAAAAACCAGGCAUGGUGGCAUGUGCCUGUAGUUCCAGUUACUUGGGGCGCUGAGGCAGAAUGAUCACUUGAGCCCAGGAGGUCAAGCCUGCAGUGAGCUGUGUUCAUACCACUGCACUACAGCCUGGGUGGCAGACUGAGAGCCUGUCUCAAAAAGCAGCAGGGAGUUUUUAAUGUGACUAAGGAGUGACGGAGGGGGCAUUUCAGGGAACCCAGGGUAAAAGUCUGUGUUUCUUCAGUCUCAGAUAACCCCUUGAGCCACCAGACUUCUGGGCAUCAGCAGCUGGUCACAACGUCCUUCAAGGCAUUCAUUCCUGCAAUUUUUUUUUUUUGAGACGGAGUUUUGCUCUUUUUGUCCAGGCUGGAGUGCAAUGGCGGGGAUCUUGGCUCACUGCAACCUCCGCCUCCCGGGUUCAAGCCAUUCUCCUAUCUCAGCCUCCCAAGUAGCUGGGAUUACAGGCAUGCGCCACCAUGGCCAGCUAAUUUUUUGUAUUUUUAGUAGAGACGGAGUUUCACCAUAUUGGUCAGCUGGUCUUGAACUCCAGACCUCGGGUGAUUCACCCACCUCGGCCUCCCAAAGUGCUGGGAUUACAGGCAUGAGCCACUGUGCCUGGCCUGCAAUUUUUUUUCAUGACCACAAAGUUACCUCUUCCUGCUUGACCAAGAAACAGCACAUCAGCAGUUUAUAUUGUGGGAACAAGGAAUAUUGGGCAAAAAGUGAGUGGUUAGCACGUGCAAGCAAGCAUCGGCCUGAUCAGAAUUUUUUUUCUUUUUUUUUUUCUUUUUGACAAGGUCUCAUUCUGUCACCCAGGCUGGAGUGUGAAGGGGUGGGUUGCCCCUCCACACCUGUGGGUUUUUCUCGUUAGGUGGAACGAGAGACUUGGAAAAGAAAGAGACACAGAGACAAAGUAUAGAGAAAGAAAAAAGGGGGCCCAUGGGACCGGCGUUCAGCACACGGAGGAUCCCCCCAGCCUCUGAGUUCCCUUAGUAUUUAUUGAUCAUUAUUGGGUGUUUCUCGGAGAGGGGGAUGUGGCAGGGUCAUAGGAUAAUAGUGGAGAGAAGGUCAGCAGGUAAACAGUGAACAAAGGUCUCUGCAUCAUAAGGUAAAGAAUUAAGUGCUGUGCUUUAGAUAUGUAUACACAUAAACAUCCCAAUGCCUUGAAGAGCAGUAUUGCUGCCCGCAUGUCCCACCUCCAGCCCUAAGGCGGUUUUCCCCUAUCUCAGCAGAUGGAAUAUACAAUCGGGUUUUACACCGAGACGUUCCAUUGCCCAGGGAUGAGCAGGAGACAGAUGCCUUCCUCUUGUCUGAACUGCAACGAGGCAUUCCUUCCUCUUUUACUAAUCCUCCUCAGCACAGACCCUUUACGGGUGUCGGGCUGGGGGACGGUCAGGUCUUUCCCUUCCCACGAGGCCAAAUCUCAGGCUAUCACAUAGGGAGAAACCUUGGACAAUACCUGGCUUUCCUAGGCAGAGGUCCCUGCGGCCUUCCGCAGUGUUUUUUGUCCCUGGGUACUUGAGAUUAGGGAGUGGUGAUGACUCUUAACAAGCAUGCUGCCUUCAAGCAUUUGUUUAACAAAGCACACCUUGCACAGCCCUUAAGCCAUUUAACCCUGAGUUGACACAGCACAUGUCUCAGGGAGCACAGGGUUGGGGGUAGGGUUACAGAUUAACAGCAUCUUAAGGCAGAAGAAUUUUUCUUACAGAACAAAAUGGAGUCUCCUAUGUCUACUUUUUUCUACACAGACACAGUAACAAUCUGAUCUCUCUUUCUUUUCCCCACAGGAGUUCAGUGGCAUGACCAGGGCUCACUGCAACCUUGAUCUGGGCUCAAGUGAUCCUCCUACCUCAGCUUCCUGAGUAGCUAGGACCACAGGUGUGCACCAACCACACCCGACUAAUUUUUGUAGAGAUGAGAUCCCACUAUGUUACCCAGGCUGGUCUUGAACUCCUGGGCUCAGGUGAUCAUCCUGCCUUGGCUUCCCAAAGUACUGGGAUUAUAGGCUUGAGCCACCGUGCCUGGCCUGUGAUCAGAAUUCUCAUUUUUUUAGUCACUAAAAAUGCUGGGGGGCACUCCAUUCUCCAUUAUGUGAUUAGUUCACAUUGCAUGCUUGUAUCAAAACAUCAUAUAUACCCCACAAAUAUAUACAAAAAACUUUAAAAUUUUAAGUAUUAAUUGCUCAGGAAAAAAUUAAAAUGCUGGGGUGCUGAAAUCUCAAGGGCCCCAUUACAAAACUCCUUAGGAACCUCGCCCUCUCUCUGCUGUAAGGACUGGUUCCAGAAUGAGAGAAUUUAAAAGACAUUCCCCCCCCAAAAUGUUCAUAAUGUCACCCCGGAAACCUGCGAAUAUGUUAUAUUACAUGACCAGGGAGAAGUAAGGUUGCAGAUGGCAGUAAGGUUGCUAAUGGGCUGACCUUAAGAUAAGGAGAUGAUCCUGGAUUAUCUGGGUGGACCCAAUGUAAUCACAAGGGUCCUUAACUGUGGAAUAGUGAGGUGGCUGAGUCAGAGGCAGAGUGAUGCAAUGACUGAAAGACUUAACCAGCCAUCACCGGCUUUGAAUACGGAAGACGGUCAUGAGCCAGGGAAUGCAGGCAGGCUCUGGGAGCUGAAAAAAGCAAGAAAAUGGAUUCUCCCCUGGAGCCUCCAGAAGGGAUGCGGUCCUGCCAACCCCUUGUCAGUGAGCCAUUUCAGAUUUCUGACUUCCAGGACUGUAAGAAAAUAAACUUGUCUUGUUUUCAGC